ensembl:snRNA U6 U6 spliceosomal RNA
GUGCUCGCUUUGCCAAGCACAUACACUAAAAUUGGAACGAUACAGAGAUUAGCAUGUCCCCUACGCAAAGAUGACACGCAAAUUCGCAAAGCAUUCCAUAUUUUG